AACAACACGUGAUCAUGCAAGAUAUGGCUUUGAAAUUAAUGGAGCGUUGUCCUCGUUUGGCUUUUGCCUUGGACCGACGAGGUGUCACCCCUUUUGAGGUACUGGCUGUUUCGACUGAUGGGGUGGGGUUUUGGAAACAAUGGAUCUACAAUCACUUUAUACACAUUAAUUCAAGUGCUGGUGCUACCGAUCAUGUCCGUUUGAACAUUAAUCAAGAUGGUCGAGAAAAAACUAUCGGAUCAGUGGGAGCUGAUCUAUGGCGCCAACUAGUUUCAAGUCUCUUCAACCUCUUGGCACCCUGCUCCUUCGCAACCCACGUCUGCUUCCACAACCCAGCACCUCCCGGCGACGCCGUCUCUCGUCAGUGCCACCGAGCGGCGCUCCUCCGUCUGCCCAGCGCCUCCACUGUCCCUCGAGCUCGUUGAACGGAGCAAACAAGAUUUGAAUCAUGCGAACCCUCCUUCCUCGCCACGAACCCACGUCCAUCAGCUUCCUCUUGCCAGUGCCAGCUCACGACUGCGUCUCUCUGUUCAGGGCCAAAUCGCGACGCUCGUACGUCUGCCCAGUGCCACCACUCCCCGCGAGUUGAUUGAACGGACCAAACCAGCGACGGGACUGAGUGCUCUGUUUCGCCAAAUGGUUUGCUAGAAAAUUAGGGUUCGUAACUGCUCUUGUGCGUGCGCAUUGCUAUUAUUGAGGCACAUUUUGUGGUAUUUGGCUCUUCUUGCAAAGUAUCCUGUGUCAACAAAAGCUCUAACAUCUGCACUUUUAACUUUAAUUGGAGAUUUAAUCUGUCAGGAAUGUUAUUUACGAAAGUUAUUGGGUUGGAAGUGCAAAGAAAUUGCUCUUUGGUUCCCCGAAGGCCCUGCUAACUGGGGGAGUAGCCUACACCCUUGGAUCUAUGAGUAAAUGCUUGAUUAAGUUGCUUGAUGCCCAUCGUCCUAUUUUCAUUUGUUGUUAGACUAUUUUGAGAAGCUAGUUAUGAAGUUUUGACCUGGCUGGGUCAUACCUAUUUCCUUAGAACAUUAGACUUGCUGCUUAUCAUUUAAUGUAACGAUAUUUAUUAUAUAAAGUUGGAUGUGGGUUUGCACGGA